rnacentral:rRNA from 1 species
AGAACGAACGCUGGCGGCAUGCCUAAUACAUGCAAGUCGAACGAACACUUCGGUGUUAGUGGCGCACGGGUGCGUAACGCGUGGGAAUCUGCCCUUGGGUUCGGAAUAACAGUUGGAAACGACUGCUAAUACCGGAUGAUAUCGAAAGAUCAAAGAUUUAUCGCCCAGGGAUGAGCCCGCGUAGGAUUAGCUAGUUGGUGAAGGUAAAGGCUCACCAAGGCGACGAUCCUUAGCUGGUCUGAGAGGAUGAUCAGCCACACUGGGACU